rnacentral:rRNA from 1 species
UAGGGAAUCUUCGGCAAUGGGGGGAACCCUGACCGAGCAACGCCGCGUGAGUGAAGAAGGUUUUCGGAUCGUAAAGCUCUGUUGUUAAGGAAGAACGAGUGUGAGAAUGGAAAGUUCAUACUGUGACAGUACUUAACCAGAAAGGGACGGCUAACUACGUGCCAGCAGCCGCGGUAAUACGUAGGUCCCGAGCGUUGUCCGGAUUUAUUGGGCGUAAAGCGAGCGCAGGCGGUUAGAUAAGUCUGAAGUUAAAGGCAGUGGCUCAACCAUUGUAGGCUUUGGAAACUGUUUAACUUGAGUGCAGAAGGGGAGAGUGGAAUUCCAUGUGUAGCGGUGAAAUGCGUAGAUAUAUGGAGGAACACCGGUGGCGAAAGCGGCUCUCUGGUCUGUAACUGACGCUGAGGCUCGAAAGCGUGGGGAGCGAACAGGAUUAGAUACCCUGGUAGUCCACGCCGUACGAUGAGUGCUAUGUUAUCCUUUCCGGGACUUAGUGCCGCAGCUAACGCAUUAAGCACUCCGCCUGGGGAGUACGACCGCAAGUU